AUUGAACGCUGGCGGCAUGCCUUACACAUGCCAGUCGAACGGCAGCACGGACUUCGGUCUGGUGGCGAGUGGCGAACGGGUGGGUAAUGUAUCGGAACGUACCUUUCAGUGGGGGAUAACGUAGCGAAAGUUACGCUAAUACCGCAUAUUCUGUGAGCAGGAAAGCAGGGGAUCGAAAGACCUUGCGCCGAUUGAGCGGCCGAUAUCAGAUUAGCUAGUUGGUGGGGUAAAGGCCUACCAAGGCGACGAUCUGUAGCGGGUCUGAGAGGAUGAUCCGCCACACUGGAACUGAGACACGGUCCAGACUCCUACGGGAGGCAGCAGUGGGGAAUUUUGGACAAUGGGGGCAAGCCUGAUCCAGCCAUGCCGCGUGAGUGAAGAAGGCCUUCGGGUUGUAAAGCUCUUUCGGCCGGGAAGAAAUGGCAUAGGCUAAUACCCUGUGUGGAUGACGGUACCGGAAUAAGAAGCACCGGCUAACUACGUG
rnacentral:rRNA from 1 species